rnacentral:rRNA from 1 species
CCUACGGGAGGCAGCAGUAAGGAAUAUUGGUCAAUGGGCUUACGCCUGAACCAGCCAAGUCGCGUGAGGGAAGACUGCCCUAUGGGUUGUAAACCUCUUUUGUCAGGGAGCAACGCCGGCUACGUGUAGACGGACUGAGAGUACCUGAAGAAACAGCAUCGGCUAACUCCGUGCCAGCAGCCGCAGUAAUACGGGGGAUGCGAGCGUUAUCGGGAUUUAUUGGGUUUAAGGGGUGCGAGGGCGGACUGUUAAGUGAGCGGUAAAAGCCCGGGGUUCAACCCCGGCGGGCCGUUGAAACUGGCUGUCUUGAGAUGUCGAGAGGUAAGCGGAAUGCGCAGUGUAGUGGUGAAAUGCUUAGAUAUUGCGCAGAACACCGAUUGCGAAGGCAGCAUACCGGCGGCGAUCUGACGCUGAGGCACGAAAGCGUGGGUAUCGAACAGGAUUAGAUACCCGUGUAGUC